UGGGGAAUUUUACGCAAUGGGGGAAACCCUGACGUAGCGACACCGCGUGAGCGAAGAAGCCUUUUGGGGUGUAAAGCUCUGUCAGCUGGAACGAACACAAUGACGGUACCAGCAGAGGAAGCAUCGGCUAACUACGUGCCAGCAGCCGCGGUAAGACGUAGGAUGCAAGCGUUGUCCGGAUUCAUUGGGCGUAAAGAGUUCGUAGGUGGUCUGUUAAGUUUGGUGUUAAAGAGCGGGGCCCAACCCCGAUAGUGCACUGAAUACUGGCAGACUUGAGUGCGUUAGAGGUAAGUGGAAUUCCAAGUGUAGCGGUGAAAUGCAUAGAUAUUUGGAAGAACACCGGUGGCGUAAGCGACUUACUGGGCCGUAACUGACACUGAGGAACGAAAGCCGGGGUAGCGAAUG
rnacentral:rRNA from 1 species